rnacentral:rRNA from 1 species
GAAAAGAAACCAACAGGGAUUGCCCUAGUAACGGCGAGUGAAGCGGCAACAGCUCAAAUUUGAAAUCUGGCCCUAGCGGUCCGAGUUGUAAUUUGUAGAGGAUGCUUUUGGUUAGGUGCCUUCUGAGUUCCCUGGAACGGGACGCCAGAGAGGGUGAGAGCCCCGUACGGUUGGACACCGAGCCUCUAUAUAGCUCCUUCGACGAGUCGAGUAGUUUGGGAAUGCUGCUCUAAAUGGGAGGUAAAUUUCUUCUAAAGCUAAAUACCGGCCAGAGACCGAUAGCGCACAAGUAGAGUGAUCGAAAGAUGAAAAGUACUUUGAAAAGAGGGUUAAAUAGCACGUGAAAUUGUUGAAAGGGAAGCGUUUGCGACCAGACUUUUUCCAGGCGGAUCAUCCGGUGUUCUCACCGGUGCACUUCGCCUGGUUUAGGCCAGCAUCGGUUCUCUUAGGGGGAUAAAGGCCUGGGGAACGUAGCUCCUUCGGGAGUGUUAUAGCCCCUAGCGUAAUACCCUUCGGGGGACCGAGGAACGCG